rnacentral:rRNA from 1 species
AACAAUGGCUUUAGUGGCGGACUGGUGAGUAACGCGUAAGGAACCUACCUAUUAGAGGGGAACAACAAUGAGAAAUCAUUGCUAAUGCCGCAUAUGCCAUAACUACCGCAUGGUAGAAGUGGGAAAGGAGUAAUUCGCUGAUAGAUGGCCUUGCGUCUGAUUAGUUAGUUGGUGGGGUAACGGCCUACCAAGACGACGAUCAGUAGCCGGACUGAGAGGUUGAACGGCCACAUUGGGACUGAGAUACGGCCCAGACUCCUACGGGAGGCAGCAGUCGGGAAUAUUGCGCAAUGGAGGAAACUCUGACGCAGUGACGCCGCGUGCAGGAAGAAGGUUUUCGGAUUGUAAACUGCUUUAGACAGGGAAGAGAAAGGACAGUACCUGUAGAAUAAGCUCCGGCUAACUACGUGCCAGCAGCCGCGGUAAUACGUAGGGAGCGAGCGUUAUCCGGAUUUAUUGGGUGUAAAGGGUGCGUAGACGGGAAUACAAGUUAGUUGUGAAAUACCUCGGCUUAACUGAGGAACUGCAACUAAAACUAUAUUUCUUGAGUACAGGAGAGGUAAGUGGAAUUCCUAGUGUAGCGGUGAAAUGCGUAGAUAUUAGGAGGAACACCAGUGGCGAAGGCGACUUACUGGACUGAAACUGACGUUGAGGCACGAAAGUGUGGGGAGCAAACAGG